rnacentral:piRNA from 1 species
UAAUAAGAUUUUGGAUUCAGAGCUAAAA